rnacentral:rRNA from 1 species
GAUCCUGGCUCAGAUUGAACGCUGGCGGCAUGCUUUACACAUGCAAGUCGAACGGCAGCAUAGAGAGCUUGCUCUCUGAUGGCGAGUGGCGAACGGGUGAGUAAUACAUCGGAACGUGUCCGUUUGUGGGGGACAACCACCCGAAAGGGUGGCUAAUACCGCAUAAGACCUGAGGGUGAAAGCCGGGGACCGCAAGGCCUGGCGCGAACGGAGCGGCCGAUGACUGAUUAGCUGGG